rnacentral:rRNA from 1 species
UACAGAGGGGGCAAGCGUUGUUCGGAAUUACUGGGCGUAAAGGGCGCGUAGGUGGCCUUCUAAGUUGAACGUGAAAUCCCUGGGCUCAACCCAGGAACUGCGUCCAAGACUGGGAGGCUUGAAUCCGGGAGAGGGAUGCGGAAUUCCAGGUGUAGCGGUGAAAUGCGCAGAUAUCAGGAGGAACACCGAUGGCGAAGGCAGCUCGCUGGGACGGUACUGACGCUGAGGCGCGAAAGCGUGGGGAGCAAACAGG